rnacentral:miRNA from 1 species
GAGAACUGCUCCACGUCCG